UAUCUGUGCAUCCGUCACAAGGGG
rnacentral:piRNA from 2 species